GCACCCGUGGCUUAAUUGGAUAGAGCGUUGCCCUCCGGAGGCAAAGAUUACAGGUUCGAUUCCUGUCGGGCGCAUCA
rnacentral:tRNA from 1 species